UACGUAGGCAGCGAGCGUUGUUCGGAGUUACUGGGCGUAAAGAGUGCGUAGGCGGUUUUCUAAGUUUGGUGUGAAAUCUCCCGGCUUAACUGGGAGGGUGCGCCGAAGACUGGAAGGCUUGAGUAUGGGAGAGGUAAGCGGAAUUCCUGGUGUAGCGGUGAAAUGCGUAGAUAUCAGGAGGAACACCUGUGGUGUAGACGGCUUACUGGACCAUGACUGACGCUGAGGCACGAAAGCGUGGGGAGCAAACAGG
rnacentral:rRNA from 1 species